CAAAAUGGAGUCCCCCAUGCUUGCUUCAAGUUUCAUAGAACAACAGCAGAUCAUUUAACACAUUAACAGUAAACAGAGUCCGGAUUCUCCCGAGCUGUGAGGACUUGAAGAAUGAAGAAUGCUGAUAACGUUCAGAGUGCUGGUGAUUUGAAUGUGGGCUGCUGUGAUCAUCCUGUCCCCUGGUCAGCUGUCCAGCUCGCUGCUGUGGUCAUCCUGUUCUUAGUCAGCUGUUCAGCUUGUUGCUGUGGUCAU